rnacentral:rRNA from 1 species
GACGAACGCUGGCGGCGUGCUUAACACAUGCAAGUCGAGCGGUAAGGCCCUUUCGGGGGUACGACGAGCGGCGAACGGGUGAGUAACACGUGGGUGACCUGCCCUCAGCUCUGGGAGUAAGCCUCGGGAAACCGGGUACUAAUACUGGAUAUGACUCCAUGACGCAUGUUGGUGGGGUGGAAAGCCUUGUGCGGCUGAGGAUGGGCCCGCGGCCUAUCAGCUUGUUGGUGGGGUGAGGCCUACCAAGGCGACGACGAGUAGCCGGCCUGAGAGGGCGACCGGCCACACUGGGACUGAGACACGGCCCAGACUCCUACGGGAGGGCAGCA